UACAGAGGGUGCAAACGUUGUUCGGAAUCACUGGGCGUAAAGCGCGUGUAGGCGGCUUUGCAGGUCGGAUGUGAAAUCCCAGGGCUCAACCCUGGAAGUGCAUUCGAAACCGCAUCGCUAGAGUUCUGGAGAGGAAGGUGGAAUGCUUGGUGUAGAGGUGAAAUUCGUAGAUAUCAGGAGGAACACCGGUGGCGAAGGCGGCUCUCUGGACGGUGACUGACGCUGAGACGCGAAAGCGUGGGGAGCAAACAGG
rnacentral:rRNA from 1 species